UGGUUCGUCAUGGAAGUGAAUCGGGUGACUCUUCCGCGUUGAUCUUAUCGGAAAAAACCCAAGUCUCACGUCUGCCAAAGAUAAAGUAUAUAAGUGAGGAAUAAUCCUAAAAACUAGUUUUUAGAGUUGAAUUAGAUCCAAAUUCAGAUUCUAUAACAUCUCUCCUCCACCACCUCCUUAAGGGUCAUGUCAAAUUUUUGAGUUACCCGAAUUUGCUUCCAUGAUGAAUC
rnacentral:pre_miRNA from 1 species